rnacentral:rRNA from 1 species
ACUCAAAUGAAUUGACGGGGGCUCACACAAGCGGUGGAGCAUGUGGUUCAAUUCGAAGCAACGCGAAGAACCUUACCCGGGUUUGAAAUUCACGGAUGGGUCUUGUGAAAGCAGGAUACCCUACUCGCAAGAGUGAAACGUGGACAGGUGUUGCAUGGCUGUCGUCAGCUCGUGUCGUGAGAUGUCGGGUUAAGUCCCUCAACGAGCGAAACCCUUGUCUCUAGUUACCAUCGGUUCGGCCGGGGACUCUAGAGAGACUGCCGUUGUGAAAACGGAGGAAGGUGGGGAUGACGUCAAGUCAUCAUGGCCUUUAUGUCCGGGGCUACACACGUGCUACAAUGGCCGGUACAAAGGGAUGCUAAGCCGCGAGGUAGAGCAAAACUCACAAAGCCGGCCCCAGUUCAGAUUGGAGGCUGCAACUCGCCUCCAUGAAGAUGGAAUCGCUAGUAAUCGCGGAUCAGCUACGCCGCGGUGAAUAUGUUCCUGGGCCUUGUACACACCGCCCGU